AACGAACGUUGGCGGCAUGGAUUAGGCAUGCAAGUCGAAUGAAUGCCAUUUGGGAAACUGGAUGGCGGAAAUGGCGAAAGGGGCAGUAAUACAUGGACAACCUACCCUGGGGUUGGGCAUAGCCGUUCUAACGAGCGGGUAAUUCCCAGCGAGUCGGCGUGGUGGCAUCAUCGUGCCGGGAAAGAAUUUCGCCUCGGGAGGGGUUCAUGAGCUAUCAGCUAGUUGGCGGGGUAACGGCCCACCAAGGCGUAGACGGCUAGCGGGUGUGAGAGCACGACCCGCGCCACUGGCACUGAGACACUGGCCAGACACCUACGGGAGGCAG
rnacentral:rRNA from 1 species